UUCAUCACGGAUUCCCCUUCUCCUACGACCGCGUUUCUCGAGAGGAAAGCACGGCAACGUUGCACUUACAUUUGCAGCUUUGUUUGCUCGAUGCAUCGCGCAUUGGAAACCUUUCAUCUCGAACGUAUUGUUUCCUAUUAGUAAAUCUUCCUCUAACGCGGUUUCCAUAUUGCGCGUAACAAAAUGGCGACAACCUUUCUAUAACAAGGAAGUCUUCCCCUAACGCGGUUUCCAUAUUGCGCGUAACAAAAUGGCGACAACCUUUCUAUAACACGGUAUAAAUUAUUUCCUAUCAUGGAAACGGUAUUUUUUCCUAUUAGCGCACCGCGACAAUUUCUUCUUUCACGAAGAAAUUUUUCAUCCACUGAAUGUGCUUUCUUUUCUUAAUGUUUACAGUAAAUCUUCCCCUAACGCGGUUUCCAUAUUGCGCACAACAAAAUUGCGACAACCUUUGUAUAACGCGGUAUAAAUUACUCUAUUUAGUACUAAUUCCCUGUUUAUUAUAACGCGGUUUCUAUAUCACACGAUACGUGGUUUCUGUAUAAUAUUCUGUAUAAUCGAAUAAAUUCUGUUUACACUAAUUCUAUUGGGUUGUCCGGAAAGUUCAUGGCUAUUUUUAAGAAAAGUUCAAAGGCAUAUUUGAAUUUUGAUGUAUAUUUAUUGAAUUAUACAGGGUGUCCCAAAAGUCGAGGAGGAGCCGGAAAUGGGGGAUAGCUGAGAGGAUUCUGAACAACA